rnacentral:rRNA from 1 species
GAUCUUUAUUUUUUUUUUAUAUAAGUUAAUAAGAUUUUAAAAAUUUAUAAUAAAAUUAAAAAUUUUACUGGGGUGGUAUUAAAAUUUAAUAAACUUUUAAAAUUUUAUACAUUAAUAUAUGAAUAUUUGAUCCAAUUUUAUUGAUUAAAAAAUUAAGUUACCUUAGGGAUAACAGCGUAAUUUUUUUUUAGAGUUCAUAUCGACAAAAAAGAUUGC